UCCACCGCGAGGUGGAAUCUGAAGGAAGCUGUAGGCAAACUUCCGGCCCGACGAACAGGAAUCGCAUACGAGGCAGUGCCAUCCGGGCGAGAAGGCCAUAGUCUUCAAAGCCCGAUAGUCAUCCGGGAGGGUGGUGCUGUAUAUGCGGCGGGUAUGUGGAAGGAAGGUCACGCGUC
rfam:Pelobacter carbinolicus DSM 2380, complete genome.